rnacentral:rRNA from 1 species
CCUACGGGAGGCAGCAGUGGGGAAUUUUGGACAAUGGGCGCAAGCCUGAUCCAGCUAUUCCGCGUGUGGGAAGACGGCCUUCGGGUUGUAAACCACUUUUGUUGAGAACGAAAAUUCUAUUGAUAAUACCGAUAGAUGAUGACGGUACUCUACGAAUAAGCACCGUCUAACUCCGUGACAGCAGCCGCGGUAAUAUGUAGGGUGCGAGCGUUAAUCGGAAUUACUGGGCGUAAAGGGUGUGCAGGCGGUUUUGCAAGAUGGAUGUGAAAGGCCAGGGCUUAACCUGAGAAAGGCAUACAUGACUGUAAGACUAGAGGGUGUGAGAGGGGGGUGGAAUUCCAAGUGUAGCAGUAAAAUGCGUAGAUAUUUGGAGGAACACUGAUGGCGAAGGCAGCCUCCUGGGACGUAACUGACGCUGAUGCACGAAAGCGUGGGGAGCAAACAGGAUUAGAUACCCCAGUAGUC